CGUGUAGGCGGUCGGCCAAGUCCGAUGUGAAAGCCCGGGGCUCAGCUCCGGAAGGGCAUCGGAAACUAGCCGGCUAGAGCGCGAUAGAGGAGGGCGGAAUUCCUGGUGUAGCGGUGAAAUGCGUAGAUAUCAGGAGGAACACCGGCGGCGAAGGCGGCCCUCUGGAUCGUUGCUGACGCUGAGACGCGAAAGCGUGGGGAGCAAACAGGAUUAGAUACCCUGGUAGUCCACGCUGUAAACGAUGGGUACUAGGUGUUCGGGGUAUUGACCCCCUGAGUGCCGCAGCUAACGCAUUAAGUACCCCGCCUGGGGACUACGGCCGCAAGGUUAAA
rnacentral:rRNA from 1 species